CUCUCUCUCUCUCUGUGCUAUAUAAAGUCGGAGACGAACUCGCCGAUCGCCACUCACUCGACCGGCACCAGGGUGCGAAGGAUCCUCGCCGUCCCCGACGUUCCGACACCCGUGCCUCUGACAGGACAAGCGUGGAGAUGGAGCUCAAGGUGGUGCUCCUCCUCGCGCUGCUCUGCGUCGGCGUCUUCCAAGACGUGUGCGCCGCCCCGUCACGUGUACGCGGUCACGUGACCGUGGCGAGGCGCCGGGCGGGAGGCCACGCGGUGCGCCGCAUGGCCGCCUUCUCGACGCGUUUCGGGCGCCGGGGGCCUCGCGGCGGCCUUGGGAGCCGCCUGUCGAGGCUCCGCAGACGGCCCAGCGUCUCGUACAAGGUCCCCAUCUCCUGACUGGUGGCGAGGCGCGAGGCAUCGACGCCACGGGCACACCGGGGCGGCGCCGUACGAACGGGAGGAUCACUGGGAUGCCAUUCACACGGCAAGCUCCGCUCACAGCAACACAGCAACAGCAGCAGCGGCGGCGGCAUCAACAACAACAACAGCAGCAGCAGCGUCAACAACAACAACAACAGCAGCAGCAGCAGAAAUGUCAGCAGUGCACCCCAAUCAACUUGGGUUCGUCGGAGGAAUA